rnacentral:misc_RNA from 1 species
GCAAACUUGGUCAUUUAGAGGAAGUAAAAGUCGUAACAAGGUUUCCGUAGGUGAACCUGCGGAAGGAUCAUUACAGAGCCCACGGCCGCGUGGGGGUCCGUCCGCCCCGGCGGGCGGGCCAACCCGGCCAAGGCCCCCAACACCUGUGUACCCGACCCGUUGCCUCGGCGCGAACGCCCCGGCCCUCCCCCGUAAGGGGGGGAUCCGCGCGCGUCCGCCGCCGGGCCGCAGCCCUUAAAAUCUUCCGUGUGGCCGUCUGAGUGAGAAAUCUAAAUGACCAAAACUUUCAACAACGGAUCUCUUGGUUCCGGCAUCGAUGAAGAACGCAGC